GAAGCCUGGUAAGUGAUAAAGUGUCAAAUUCUUUUAUUUCUGUAUGGUAUGAUUGCUGGAAGUAUUGGUACUGCAUUAACAGAAUUUAUUUUGAGUUGUCUGAACAGGGCUAUGUUAAAUCUGUUAGAAACAAGCUUAAUAAGGUUGUUUCAUGAGUAAUGUAUUCAAUUACUCAAUGGUUAGUGAUAAUUCUGGAGUCAUACCUUCAGCCGCUCUAGCCACUGACUGUAGGAAUCUUCUAACCAGGGACGUUCUUGCAGUUUUGACUUGGCUUCUUCAAAUCCAAAUUGUGGCUCACACUCCAGAACACCAUCAUUGGCUGUCUCAGUCCCAAGACCGCGUUCAAGCAUUCUCC
rnacentral:lncRNA from 1 species